CGUCAACGCAAAAAAAGGGGGGUGUGGNGGGGACGCCGNGUUCUUUUNCCCCCCCCCGCUNUUUUUGUGNGCACUNGCUCGCUUUUCUCCCCCUUCUUCUUCUCCCCNUCCCCUNCUUUUCACGCCNUCCCACACGUGUCGGGAGAGUGGAGAAGGAAAUGUGUGUGUAUGGAGGAAGAAGCCGCGGAGGGGGAAAUAUCGUGAGGUCGUGUGCGUNCGCAGGUGUAUAGGUCACGCUCUAACAACA
rnacentral:rRNA from 1 species